GAUGAACGCUGGCGGCGUGCCUAAUACAUGCAAGUCGAGCGAACAGAUGAGGAGCUUGCUCCUCUGACGUUAGCGGCGGACGGGUGAGUAACACGUGGAUAACCUACCUAUAAGACUGGGAUAACUUCGGGAAACCGGAGCUAAUACCGGAUAAUAUAUUGAACCGCAUGGUUCAAUAGUGAAAGACGGUUUUGCUGUCACUUAUAGAUGGAUCCGCGCCGCAUUAGCUAGUUGGUAAGGUAACGGCUUACCAAGGCAACGAUGCGUAGCCGACCUGAGAGGGUGAUCGGCCACACUGGAACUGAGACACGGUCCAGACUCCUACGGGAGGCAGCAGUAGGGAAUCUUCCGCAAUGGGCGAAAGCCUGACGGAGCAACUCCGCGUGAGUGAUGAAGGUCUUCGGAUCGUAAAACUCUGUUAUUAGGGAAGAACAAAUGUGUAAGUAACUAUGCACGUCUUGACGGUACCUAAUCAGAAAGCCACGGCUAACUACGUG
rnacentral:rRNA from 1 species